CCGGCAGCAGUAUACAAGAGGGCAUAGCGUUCAUUAUGACCUGUACGGCAGGUCCAUGUGUCGUCUCUGUUUUUGGGCCUGCAGGAGCAUAGUCCAACUCUGGUGCAUGUCAUCCCAUUCAGCCGAUGCCGGCUCUGGAGGCUUGACAGGUGGGCCUUGGGCGCUUGCGGAGUUGGUGCUGCAACAAAAGUCCGUCGCCUGUGUGUCCCGGAGAGGCCCUCUGUCUGCGUCCUUCACCACUUGGAAGCUGUGUUGCAUUCCGGUAAGCCUUGGGCCGUCUAUUC